AGUAAAAAGUGGAGUAAGCAGGAAGAAAGUAGCUGGCGAACAUGAACAUCUAUGAGGAUCUUUGUAGCACCUACCUCUUGUCACUACUCUUCUUCCUAUGCAUGUUGUCAUAUAAACCUCCAAAUGCAGAACAGAUGAAACAAUAAUAUUGGCCAGAGGACACACAUCACAUAUAAGGAAAAAAAAAGAGUACUGCAUAUAUAAUAAGUCUACAUAGGUAUGAGAGGUAUCAGGAACAGUGUUAUCAGGCGAACCUUCUGCACAAGUUAGCCGUGCUAUGAUAUUAGUUCUAGUCAUGAAAAAUCUUCUCUCUUUAUAUAACAAAUAACUAAACCUGAAUUUUAGUUGUGUCCGAAUCCGUCUUUUGUGCAUAUGAUGCUUUUUCAGGUAUGCGAGAGGAACUAGGCCCUGUUUGGAAGAUUGCCCAUGGCUAAUUUUGAGAACUAAUGUUUAGUCAUGAAUUGGUAGGCUAAAUAUUAGCCUAAGAUGAUAUGUUUGGAUCCAUGAGCUAAUUUAAGGCUAAAAGGUGGAGAAAGAGUAGAAAGAGAGGAGAGAGAGGGAGAGAUAGGGCUGCUUUUUGAUGGUCUCCACAGAAAAUUAGCCCCAUUAGCACCCCUUAGAGGGGCUAAUGUUCUGAGAGGGGCUAAUUCACUCUACCCCCAAAUUAAACCACCUGUUUGGAUCCUUGAGGGCUAAUUCAGAGCUAAAAGGUGGGGGCUAAUAAUUAGCUCAUGGAACCAAACAGGACCCUAGAAUGAACAUGGCGAGAAUGAAGUGUAGAUUCCUUGAAUGCAGAAGAAUACAAAUUACAGCAAUGGAGAAUAAUAAACUGGUAAAAGGCAAAUGAUGGGAGCGGGAGCAUUUGUGAAUUGGGAAAGCCAUCCAAAAUAACAUACUAUAUGCUAGCAUUGGAGAGUCCAUCUUGUGUCUCACGCGAUCUCCAUUUCUUAGAUCCUUGAAGAGUGUGAGGAUAGGAAGCAUCAGGAAAAAGAAAUCUCCAUUGCUAUUGCUUGGUGGGUGUAGCAGCAACAAGCCUACAUUGGGCAGUAACCAUGGUUCUAGAAAUUAAUUGAUCAUUUCCAUUUUCCACCAUGGUUCUUUAGUCAGCUUGCUGUGCAUCUACAUUGGGCAGUAACCAUUUACAUUAGCAAGCAAUUACAGCGCCUACUUCUACUCUGCUACUAUAAUCCUGAGUAAGACAACAUAAUUGUCUAGGACUGACAUCGAUAAUGGCCUCUUCAUUGUUCUCACGUUAUCACUACUAGUAUGAAAAAAAAGGAGCUAGCAUGAAGAAAAUCGCUAUUGCACAUCUGUGAGGAUCUUUAUAACACCGACCUUUCACUACUCAUCUUCCUAACAUUAGUGUAUGAAAAUUGGCGUAAACCGUUGAGACUAGCCACUAGCGUCUGUCACUUCCGUUCUUCCUCUUUAGUCCAAAUGGGAAUAGGAGGUAUCAGGAUAAGCGUAGCCAAACCGUUCUUCCAAUAAAGUAAGCAGUGCUUAUGAUAUUAGUCCUUAUCUCUGAAAAUCUUGUGUUUCUUGCUGUAACAAAUAACUAAGGCUGAACUUUAGCAAGCUGGUUCAAUACCCUCUUUCAUAGAGUUACAUUACUUAUAUAUAAUGUCUUUUCAGGUGUGCGAGAUAAACUAGAAGAACAAACAUGGGGAGAAUGGAGUGUUGCGGCUCUUCUACCUAUGAGGAUUGAAGUUAUGUGACUCCUCGCAUCUUGAAGAAGAACGGCACGGAUACACUUCCCUGCAGCUAAAGAUCAUUUUCCGCUUACAUAGGUUUGCAAGGUCCUUCAGCCCUACGUAGGUUUUGUGUGUCAGAUGAUCAAUGACAGAUUGACACACACCAACCUGAUCUUCAUUGCUGCAUCGAUCUUCAAAUAUUCGGUGCAUAAUUAUCUAGAUGUAUAGAAUAGAUGAAGAACCAGCAAAAGAUAGAAAGACAAAAGAUGAAAGGAAAUAAAAUGUUUUUGCUUCUGUGAAAGCCAUCCGAUUAAUAUAUACGCUAGCAUUGGAGAGCCCAUCUUGUUUGGUCAUGAGAUGUCCAUUUCUCAGCUAUCUCUUAGAGCGCGAGGAUGUUAAGCAUCAGGAGAAAGAGAUUGAGAGAUCGAAAUGAUAAGUAAGAGAAAUACCGUGUUUUUUUUACUCUCAGAAAUCCAUUAUAUCUGAAAACAAACUUUUUUAUGAACAAAGUAGAGACCAACUUCAGAAUUGUACAUCCUUAGAAUAAGUUAUCUCUGUGCAUCCACAUUUUCAGGGAUAUGAAAGAAACAGAGUAAAACGUACCCACGAAGUGAGAUUGAAGUAAUGCUCUGUAGGACAGAGAUGGUUAAUGUUACCCAUUCUCUCCAUUUUUUUUCCCAUCAACGAAUGCUUAUUAUGAGAAUAAGCAUGUAACUGGACUGCCAAUGGACUUCCUGCUGGAUGUAGCAAGGCUGUGAUUCUGUUUAGACUUAGUUCUUAUCCCCUAAUACAAUGACGAUAUAUUGUUCUUUCUCAAUUUGCUGUGCAAGUGUGCAUGCAGGGUUUUCAAUUUCGAUUUGUCGAAAAUUUCGGUAAGACCAAAAUUUAUGAAAUUUCGUGAUUUUCGGUACUUUUUGGACUGAUUUUUUUUUGAAAUUCUAACAAAUUUUUACUGGAGUUGAAUAAACUUUGACCAAAUUCAACAAAAAAUUGAUAAAAUACGAAAAUUUCAGUUAAUAUAUUGAUUACCAAAAUUUCAGAAAUUUUGAACUAAAAUUGCAAUUCCCUGUGUGCGUGUAGAUUCGAUAUUUACAUCAACAAGAAAUCAUAGCACCUACUUCUACCCUGCUCCUACUAUCAUCCUGAGUAAUAUAACCUAGUACUACUUGUCUAUGAGACUGACAUCUAUAAGGGCCUCCUCUUGGAGUAAUGCAAAUGAAAAAAAAUGGAGCAAUCAUGAGGAAAGUAACUGGAUGACAUCUAUCAGGGUUUAUUUUUAUAGCACCUACCACUUGUAACUACUCAUCUUCCUACGCAUGUUUGUCACAUAAACCUCCAAAUGCAUAAUGCAGGGAAUGGUAUAGAGAAUAUAGGACAGUAGGACACACAUCGCAUAUGAAGAAAGCAUACUAGUAUACUAGCAUCCUAUGUCAUUCCAUUCUCACAUUUCGUCCAACAUGGGUAUAGGAGGUAUUGCGAAAAACACAGGCAGGCUAACCUUCCACACAAGCAAACAAAUCCCUCUUUUUAGUAGAAUUACGUCGUGUAUAACUUUUCUCAGGUAUUCGAGAGAAACUAGGAUGAACUUAUUGAGAAUGAAGUGUUGCAACUAUUUUAGCACCUACUACUUUAGUCAUUUUAUAGAGCAGAUAUGUGACUCCUGAAUCCUAUGUUGAAGAAAAGCAAUGAAAAUGAGCGGUUCCACUUGUUGAAGACGUUCCCUAUACAUAUAUUGAUACUUGGCUGAGGACCUUCAGCAGUGACCCUCUACUUGUCUUACACUUUAAUCUGAUGAAUGAUGAUCAAUGCAACACCAACCUGUUCUUCAUUGUUGUGUCUCCUCAUCUUUGAUACAUAAACAUCAAGUUGUAGAUAACAAAUGGAGAGCGAACACGAGAUAAAAACCAAAUAAUAAAGGAAAAGUGAGCAUUUGUUAUCUCACGAAUAACAUAGAUGCUAGCAUUGGAGAGUUUAUCUUGCAUCUCAUGAGAUGUCCAUUUCUCAAGAGAUAUCUGAGCUUGAGGAUGGGAAGCAUCAGGAGAAAGAAAUCCAGAGGUACCCAUAGAAGAAGUAACACAUAUACCUAUAGUAUAUGUAUAUGUUACUUAUUAUACCUAUAGUAUAUGUUACAAGACAAAUUAGUAUGUCCCAUAACAACUUUUGAUGAACAAAAACAAGAGAAAGACUUCAGAGUAUUACAUCUUUGUAACAGGUUCUCUCUAAGCACAUCCACAUUUUCAGGGAUAUGAUUGAAACAUAGUAUAACACUCGGAAGGAUCUAGUUGAAUGGACAUGAGACAAAACAACUGUUGUGUCAAGCGAGCGUGCUAGGCAAGGAGAAUGUGAUCAUUGUAAAAAAAAUUUGAAGAAAAGAUCAUUGUACAGAAUGAGAUAAUCAGAAACAUCAUGCACCAACGAUUGGUAAUAGUAGCAGGCUGAAGAUGUCGCUGGUAUGGUGGCGGAGCAGUAGGCAGCCAUGAGAGCUGCUGCAUGCCAAUGCCAACAAGUGCAUCAUUGAUACAAUAAAGUCUGGUUGUUUGGGGUUUUGUUUUGUUGAAUGGGCUGUAGUUUUUUUAUGCAUCGAGGUGUUUUCAAUAUAUAGCUUAGGGGAAAUCAUCAUGAUUCGAAUUUCAUUGAUUUGUUGCAGAAAAUUUAUAAAACUUGCUGAACUUUGCAGAGGCCUGAUAAAGCAUUCAUGACAACUUGGUGAAACAUUCAUUUGACAUGGUUAUACUUAUGAUAUGCCACGAAUGAUCAAUGAAACUUUUAGAGAUACUGACAAUACACCUGAUGAAACUCUGAAGAUAAAACUAGCAUGCACGCAUGUAUCAUGUAAGCUAAAGGUGCUUUACAAUGGUUUUUGUUAGUAGAAUUAAUCUAGAGCCCUCAUAUUUUCUAAUCUAAGGAUCAGAUCUAUUUCUAUUACUACCUCAACUAUUUGCAGUAGAAUAUUUCUUUUGCUGGUAGUGGAACUCAUAAAUCAAUGGUCAAGGUUACUUCUAUUGGUGACAAUAUUGCUAGUAGAAUACCACCAAUAAAGACCACCAUAAAAAAAUCACAUCUAUUUAUACUUCCACCUAACCUACUGGCAGUAGAAUUCAUAACUCAAGACUUAAAUCACUUCUACCACUGAUAAUAAUAUUGGUAGUAUUUAGUAAAGGCUAUCGCAGGUACUUGAGUAAUAACACCUACUUAUAUGUUAGACUGACAUCUAUGAUGGCCUCUUCAUGACUCUUACGUUAUCGGAUCUUUAACUUGUUGACUUAUUAGUAUAAUAUAUACAUGAAAAGAAAUUAUGGAGCAAGCAUGAAUGAAGCAAGUAAUUAUGUGGAUGGACAUCUACAAGGAUUUAUUACAACACCUACAUCUAUAAGGAUUUACAUUAUCUUCCUAUGCAUGUUUGUCAUACAAACCUCCAAAUGCAGAGAGGAAGAAACAGUAGACACACAUCACUUGUGAAGAGAAUAUUAUAGUAUACUUGUUCUAGGAGCAUCAUAUUGUUAUACGGAAGUCACUUCCAUUUUCCCAUUUAGUCCACAUGAGCAUAGGAGGUAUCAGGAAAAGGGUACCCAACCAAGACUUCUGCCCAAGUAUGUGAGAGAAACCAGAACGAACAUGCAUGGCUGGAGAGGUGGAGAACGAAGCAUUGUGCUGUUUUAGUUGCUCUUGCUUGAGUACCAUGAACAAAAGAUAUGUGACUUCUCAGAAUGCUUCAGGAUGUUGGAGAAGAGGCGUGAGUAUGCUCUUCUGCUUCUGCACGGGUAAACUAAAGAUCCAUUAUUUGCGUCGGUUGGACGAUGCCCUUCAACAGUGAUACAUGCCAUGAUGCUUUAAUUGUUAAUCCAGACAUGUGUGUGAUGAUCAAAGGCACACUAACAUGUUCUUCGUUGUGUGUUUUGCCAUCUCUCGCACAAUGUAUGAGCAGAUGAAGAACGAAUACAAGAUAAAAGACAAACAAUGAAAAGAAAGAGAGAAUUUCUACUUAAGCCAUUUGAGUUGUCAAAUUUUCAAGAAUUUUUCAUGAUUAAAGUGACAUGCAAAAAAAAGGGGCAUCCCCUUUAAAGGGUAAAAUGACUUUCCCAAAUAAUUAAGGGGAUCAAUGCCACGCCAACCUAUUAUUUCAUCACUGUGUCCAUCUUUGAUACAUAGACAUACGAAUGAAACGGAAAAGGUCAAGAAUGAACAAGAGAUAAAAGGCAAAUAGUGGAAGGGAGUGUACAUUUGUGGUUUCAUGAAAAUAAUUUUUUCAUUCGGGUAAUGUAUAUAUAUGCUAGAGUAAUUCUAGCACUGUAGAGUCCAUCUUUUGUCUCAUGAGUUGUCCAUUUCUCAGAGAUCUAUAGAAGCGUAAGGAUGGGAAGCGUCAGGAGAAAGAAAAUGAGAAACACCCAUAUACCAUGUAAGACAUCCCAAUACCUAUAAUGUUUAUUACUUACAGAAAUUCAGUAGGUACCAUAACAUUUUUAUGAACAAACUAGAACGACUUCAUAAUUUUACAUACACCGAUACACUUUUUCAGGGAUAUGAAGUAGAGUAAAACGCAUAACGGAUGGAUAUGAUACAAUUGACAAGAGACAAAGCAGGCACUGCACAAAGCAAGAAAGGCAAUGGCAAUGUGAUCUCUCUCUAUAGGAUGAUAGAACCAGAUAUACCAUGCAUCGAUAAGUACUAGUAGAGUAGCAGGCUGCAGGCGCAGGUGGUGUGGGGUUGGAGUAGGUUCAUUUGAGAGAUCAAGUGUACUUGUCAACCAGUUUAUAGAUUUUUUUUUUGCGGAUGAAUUGUAUAUGUUUUCUGCCAAGUGUUGAGGUGGACUCAAUAUAUAACUCAUGGGAAAUCGACUUGUCAUAGGGCGGCUUGCUUUAACUUUUGUUCAUUUGGUUGCUGAAAUUUGAACAAGACUAACAUGGAAGUAGUUGAAACAUGCAUGAGAGACAUGCAUGGUGAAAUAUUCAUAUGACACAAUGAUAUUGAAGAGAUGCCAAGAACGCUCAAUAGAACUUUUGAGAGGCACCGACAAUACCUGAUGAAACCCUAAUUGAGUGGCAUGUUUGUAUACCACUAUACUGUAACUAUCGUAUGUAUUUCUUCCAUUUCAUAUUAUAAGAAGUUUUGGGUUGUCUUGAAGUCAAACUUCUUUUAAUUUUGACCAAGUUUGUAAAAAAAAAAACCUACA